AAAUUGAAGAGUUUGAUCAUGGCUCAGAUUGAACGCUGGCGGCAGGCCUAACACAUGCAAGUCGAACGGUAACAAGAAGCAGCUUGCUGCUUCGCUGACGAGUGGCGGACGGGUGAGUAAUGUCUGGGAAACUGCCUGAUGGAGGGGGAUAACUACUGGAAACGGUGGCUAAUACCGCAUAACGUCGCAAGACCAAAGAGGGGGACCUUCGGGCCUCUUGCCAUCAGAUGUGCCCAGAUGGGAUUAGCUAGUUGGUGAGGUAACGGCUCACCAAGGCGACGAUCCCUAGCUGGUCUGAGAGGAUGACCAGCCACACUGGAACUGAGACACGGUCCAGACUCCUACGGGAGGCAGCAGUGGGGAAUAUUGCACAAUGGGCGCAAGCCUGAUGCAGCCAUGCCGCGUGUAUGAAGAAGGCCUUCGGGUUGUAAAGUACUUUCAGCGGGGAG
rnacentral:rRNA from 1 species